rnacentral:rRNA from 1 species
AGGCCAGACUCCUACGGGAGGCAGCAGUGGGGGAUAUUGCACAAUGGGGGGAACCCUGAUGCAGCGACGCCGCGUGGGUGAAGGAGUGCUUCGGCAUGUAAAGCCCUAUCGGCAGGGAAGAAGCAAGACGGUACCUGACUAAGAAGCCCCGGCUAACUACGUGCCAGCAGCCGCGGUAAUAAGUAGGGGGCAAGCGUUAUCCGGAUUUACUGGGUGUAAAGGGAGCGUAGACGGCGAUGCAAGCCAGAUGUGAAAGCCCGGGGCUCAACCCCGGGACUGCAUUUGGAACUGUGUGGCUGGAGUGUCGGAGAGGCAGGCGGAAUUCCUAGUGUAGCGGUGAAAUGCGUAGAUAUUAGGAGGAACACCGGCGGCGAAGGCGGCCUGCUGGACCGUAACUGACGUUGAGGCCCGAAAGCGUGGGGAGCAAACAGGAUUAGAUACCCGAGUA